rnacentral:rRNA from 1 species
CGGGUGAGUAACGCGUGAGGAACCUGCCUCAAAGAGGGGGACAACAGUUGGAAACGACUGCUAAUACCGUAUAAGCCCACGGCUCGGCAUCGAGCAGAGGGAAAAGGAGCAAUCCGCUUUGAGAUGGCCUCGCGUCCGAUUAGCUAGUUGGUGAGGUAAUGGCCCACCAAGGCGACGAUCGGUAGCCGGACUGAGAGGUUGAACGGCCACAUUGGGACUGAGACACGGCCCAG